GGCAUCUGCAGCCACCGGCCAGGCAAAGAAUUACCGAAUUACCACUCAGAGCAUCAGAUGAUUGAUGAAGUCAAGAAUCUGUGGCGGAGCUGCAGGGACCAAUUCCGGAAGGAAAUGCAGCAUCAACACCGCAGUGGGUUGGGCCAAUCCAAGAAAAGGCCCUAUAUGUUUCGGAACUAGCUGAUGUUCCUGCGUCCGGUCAUGGAACUGCGUCCAACGGAGGACAACCUUGAGGAGCAAGCAAAUGAGUCGGCUCCCCAGCAAUCCAGCACCUGCGAGGAGGAGACUCCCUCUGGCCCACCUCCUUCCCAAAGUGCAGAAAGACCCUGCACCUCUGCAGCCUUGCUUCCCGCUGUUUCGGGAGUCGAUUCCCCCCCCACACACACACACUUUGCCCCUACCCAGCUGGCAAAGGAGACUCCUCCUGCCGAAGCUCUAGUCAAUAGCCAGGUCCUGGAUUAUUUGGCUAGAGCCCGGCAGGAGGACCAGUUUGAUUUAUAUGCCAGAAGUCUGGCACCUUAUUUAGUAGUAGGGAACAUUAUGGCCUACCAAGUCGGCCAUAUGGCCAACCAUAUCAGGCCCAGACUUCCUAUGGGCAGCCUGUCUCCUCCUCAUCCCAGGCUGGCCCAUCUGUGCACUCUGGUCCCCCUUCACAACCCUCCUACUAUGGCCCUCAGUUUCCGG